UACGAAGGGGACUAGCGUUGUUCGGAAUCACUGGGCGUAAAGCGCACGUAGGCGGAUUUGUAAGUCAGGGGUGAAAUCCCAGAGCUCAACUCUGGAACUGCCCUUAAUACUGCCAAUCUCGAGUCCGGAAGAGGUGAGUGGAACUCCUAGUGUAGAGGUGGAAUUCGUAGAUAUUAGGAAGAACACCAGUGGCGAAGGCGGCUCACUGGUCCGGUACUGACGCUGAGGUGCGAAAGCGUGGGGAGCAAACAGG
rnacentral:rRNA from 1 species